UUGAACGCUGGCGGCAGGCCUAACACAUGCAAGUCGAGCGGAUGAAGGGAGCUUGCUCCUGGAUUCAGCGGCGGACGGGUGAGUAAUGCCUAGGAAUCUGCCUGGUAGUGGGGGAUAACGUCCGGAAACGGGCGCUAAUACCGCAUACGUCCUGAGGGAGAAAGUGGGGGAUCUUCGGACCUCACGCUAUCAGAUGAGCCUAGGUCGGAUUAGCUAGUUGGUGGGGUAAAGGCCUACCAAGGCGACGAUCCGUAACUGGUCUGAGAGGAUGAUCAGUCACACUGGAACUGAGACACGGUCCAGACUCCUACGGGAGGCAGCAGUGGGGAAUAUUGGACAAUGGGCGAAAGCCUGAUCCAGCCAUGCCGCGUGUGUGAAGAAGGUCUUCGGAUUGUAAAGCACUUUAAGUUGGGAGGAAGGGCAGUAAGUUAAUACCUUGCUGUUUUGACGUUACUAACAGAAUAAGCACCGGCUAACUUCGUG
rnacentral:rRNA from 1 species